rnacentral:rRNA from 1 species
AACGAACGCUGGCGGCAUGCCUAACACAUGCAAGUCGAACGAGACCUUCGGGUCUAGUGGCGCACGGGUGCGUAACGCGUGGGAACCAGCCUUUAGGUUCGGAAUAACUCAGAGAAAUUUGAGCUAAUACCGGAUGAUGUCUUCGGACCAAAGAUUUAUCGCCUUUAGAUGGGCCCGCGUUGGAUUAGCUAGUUGGUGGGGUAAAGGCAUACCAAGGCGGCGAUGCAUAGCUGGUCUGAGAGGAUGAUCAGCCACAAUGGAACUGAGACACGGCCCAGACUGGGACGGAGGGGAGCAGAGGGGAAUAUAAGGGACGGGAGGAAGGCGUAGUCCCGCCGUGCGGGGUGAGUGAGGAAGGCGGUAGGAUUGUGAAGCUGUCUUACCCGAGAUGUUAGUGACGGUAACGGGUGAAUAAGCUCCGGCUAACUACGUG